rnacentral:lncRNA from 1 species
CGCACCUUGGUGAGGAUCAAUGAGAUGGAGUGAGAGAAUUGGUUUGGGGCUUAUAAGUCAAAAUCAACAUUUACCAAGCGUGGCCUUAACCAAUGGGACAAGUAGUCGUCCCAUUGGCUAUCAGUGAGCAACAGUGGUGUUCGCGCCUUAUUGCGUGUCAUGCAUGAGCGAAAGCAGCCAUGUCACACGCUCUGUGCUUACAAGCUGUCUGCCACGUGCAAGCAUUGUUGUGUUAUGCACUGCUCACACAGUUGCUCGCAAGGUGGGCGCAAUGUGCUGCUCGUGGGUCGUAGGUCCAGUUUCCAUGCCGUUGAUUUUUCUUGUCAUUUUUCUUCUGAAAUUUUUGUUAGUUCAGAUAUUAUUUU